rnacentral:misc_RNA from 1 species
AUGAUUGCAAAUCGGGUUGCCUUCAGUGCUGGCUCCUUACAGAGCAAGUGCACGUUGGUGGCUCUCAUCUAAUAACUCUUGUGAACCUUUUGCCUCUUGCCAGCUUCGGCUGGCAAAGGAUUUUUACUACACACACUUGAAUGUAAUGAAAAAAAUACUCUUGUGCACAAGCACUAAUGUA